CCAGAUUAUAAAUUGCCUUGUCACUGAAGCAUCAGAGAGGCAACAGGGAGGAUGGAGUUUUUCAUUUUGUCCCAUAGCCUCUGCUAUGGAAGGAACACUAGCUUCAGAUCCUAAAAUCUUUUGACUACCCACGGAGAGUUGCACAAGAAGAAUGUCUGGCAUGGAAAAUUUUGUCAUCUGAUUUGGGAAGGCAGCCCAUGAUCCCAGGAUAAUUCUUCAUAUUUUUCUCUUGCCUCAUCCUUUCACCACAGAAAAGGAAAAAAUACUAUCUCACUCUCUUGGAUGAUACUUCUUUCUUCAUAUAUUACAUGCUGCAUGAAUAACAGGAUGCAUGCCCACAGUCAAACUGCCAUGAAACUGUUCUACAAACCAUAACUGUGUCCAGGGAGACAAGGUUAAUUUUGUACAAACACAUACAGAAGAAACUGGACAUUUUGUCAAGAACUUUUCCUAUGUAUUCUUCAGAACAAAACCCCUUCUAGUGUAUUUUUGGAUGUAUUGGGCUGUUUCUGUGACUGGUACUUUCAUUUAUAGCACAGCCAGUGUGCUGUAAAGAUGUCUUACUGUACAUGAGAAAUGGAACUCUAUUUCUAUUCAAGAAAGUCCAUUCAGAACAAGUACCAUACCCAGUUCAUAUCCAUGUUUAUCCUGUCCUAACAUAAUGUAUAGGACACAGGUAAAAAGAGGAAAUACUAAGACUUCAAAGAAUCUUCCAUCUGUUCUAAAUUCUUUGACAAAGCCAAGAAACCACAGUAAUUGCUCAGAUUGUACAAUCCAGUAACAGAAGACUGUCACUAGCCUUGCAUUCCCAGAAUAUAAACAGUCUUUCACACUUGUGACUUUUUUUAAGUUAAAAAGAUAAAAAGCAUGGACUUCUUUGUAUAUAUAGAUGUAUUUGGAACCAACAGUAAUGCUUGAAUUGAGGUCCUUUUCUUUUGAAAGAGGCUUUUUGCCUGUCCAAUUUACUUUUCCUUUCUGAAUACACCACUACCAAAUGUACUGAUUUUCUGCAAUGUACUGCAAAGCCUCUUUCAUCCAUUCCCCCGGAUACAAGAGAAACUGUGCUGCUAGUGCAUGAUGCAUAUUUUAGAACUUUAUUUGAUACCUGGAACAUUGGAGGAAUGACAUUUCAUUGAAAGGAUGAGAAAUAUAUUGCUGUUUUGUUGGUGAGAUUGUUACUUAAAGAACUGUAAGGGCACAGGCUGGUCACCUGUUCAGUUCUGUAAAUCUAAAUAAGUAAAAUAAAA